AGCUAUAGUAUUAAACAUGUCAUAGUUGCACCCCAGCCUGUGCGGUGACGUUUCGAACAAACACACCUACAUUUUACUGCCUGACCUUACACAUGUUCAAGGUGAUAAUGUUGAUUGCUACAGAAGUUCAAGCAGCGCAUCUUGCCGUGGUGUCAAGACAGCUAGUCAUGGGAGUUCAGAACAUAUUCUGUGGUGAUUCUCGGGUUGCUGACACAUGGGUUGAAGAUCUUCAGCACAUCCGAUUGUGUAAUUCUAUUGUAAUUUAUUAUUUCACCACUGUUGUUUUCCUCCUCCUUAUUCCUGGACUUUUUUUUUUUGAAAGGCUAUACACAUCGAUCUAUUCUUGGACUUCUUUAUGCAACAGGGGAAUGUUAGCAUGUAGUUUAAAGAUUUGAGGGCCCUAGAGACUAGAGAAAAGGUAAAAACAUGAGUACACAUGUAGUAUUCAGUUCACUGACUCAUGUCAGCAUUUAAGCAUUAGUGCCAUGCGCAAUGUUAUGUACCUGCAUGCAUUACUCACUCCAGUCACAGAUAUAAGACACUUGUACAUUUUUCUGAACAGCAUAUACUUUUAUU